UACAGAGGGUGCGAGCGUUAAUCGGAAUUACUGGGCGUAAAGGGCGCGUAGGUGGUUAUGUAAGUGAGAUGUGAAAUCCCCGGGCUUAACCUGGGAACUGCGUCUUAUACUGCAUAGCUUGAGUACAUGAGAGGGUAGUGGAAUUUCCGGUGUAGCGGUGAAAUGCGUAGAUAUCGGAAGGAACACCAGUGGCGAAGGCGGCUACCUGGCAUGAUACUGACACUGAGGCGCGAGAGCGUGGGGAGCAAACAGG
rnacentral:rRNA from 1 species